AAGAAUGAAAUCUCUGAGGCUGAAGCAGGAAAGUAUUUAUGCCAGAAAGUGAUGCAGAACUGCUCAGGUCUACUGGAGGAAGGCAGGGACUUCAUCAUGAGGGGCCCUGUAGAGACAGAGGACAACCCACUCGAGCCUGUGUACAUGACAUCCUCCCUCCUACCAUUGCCAUCAUAAGACUGUCCAGGUAGGGCCUAAUACUGCUCUGCCUCCAGCAUUAUCUGUUCAAUUCUCCAAGUGUAGGACAUCUGCUAUGCAGACAAUCCCAUGGCACAAAGCUGCCCAGCUCUGGUCCUACUGACAAACCCUAGAUGCUGCUCACCGUCUCUCCAGCACACUUACGUUAUAGUGUAUUUCCCUGGCCUGCUCAUUUGCUCCUUCACUUUGGGAACCAGAGGAUUUUCCCCCUCCUGGCUGAGUACACAAAGUGUAGACCAUUAUGUCAACAUCCACCCUGGCUCUGAUUUCAAGAGUUGACUGUCAUCAGGCAUCAGUGCUACCAGGGAGCUUUCUGCUAGGUAUGGUCCAGACAACUGCUUGGACCAAUCUUGUUAAUGACUUAUGUGCAGCUGCAGAGGAACAUGGAACCCUUCUCUGCCAGAAUGCUAGGGGAAUUUCUAGUUUUAACCCUCCAUGGAGUACCCUAAGCUUUGAAUGUGAAUAAAAAGGCGUCUUUUGGUAAAUGAGAUUAAUUUUAUUAGGAGGGAAAAUGUAAGCAAGUAAGCAUUAAAUUUGUUCACAAGUACAGUAAGUGUUGGUUGGAAAAAAACAUAGAGACCACCUUAUGGAUGCCUUAACCAGCCACGGCUAACCGAAAUCUGAGAGUGUAAACAGACAGCACAUAUCGUUCUGCUACCUCCUCAAAGGCUAAGGACUGGGCAAAGAGGUGCUUUGAUGAAAGUUUCUUUCCCUCUGCUAAACGCAUGCUUUUCCUGAGUAGGUGCCAUGUAUAAAGAAGAAAUCAUGCUAAAGGCGUAAUGCUGUUUUCCAAGCCAAUGUUUCGUUUGCCUCCUCUUAGAAUAUACAUUUCUUUGCUUAUGAUCUUGGCAUGGCUGUACAUAUUUUCUAUUCUCUUCAGGGGUGGUUUGCUUUGUUGUCAUAGCAAUGCCUUCUAACUCCUGCACUCACCAGUUUCUGUUCAGGUUCCUGCAGGCUGCAACCAGUCCCUCAUUGUGAUGAUCACAUCUCCUAGCAGCUUUAACGCCUCUUUUUUUUUUAUCUUCUAACUAUAGGCACAUUCAGUAGCAUGAUUCCAAAGAAUUCUGGCCCAAACAGGUUUUCAGCUUGAAGUUAAAAAAAAAAAAAAACAACAAAAAAAAGGCACUAACAUUGUUUGUGUCUGUUUGGGGUUUUCAUUGUUCUACUGAUGAUCUAAUAUUUCAACAUUUUUAUUCAUUCAUCUUCUGAGUUUUUCUUGGACAUGAACUAUAACUGCCUCGGUGAUCUGGCUAUCGGAGAUGAGGUGCAUCAAUCUGCCUGAGCACUGUUCUUCCCUGUCACGAUCACAAAGGCAGUGUGAAGCUGGGACCAGGCCAGCUCCAACAAAAUGGUCCCCUUUUCCUGUGCAGACUUGCUCAACAGCUUUCGUUCUGCAAAGCUCUGCUUUUAGAGGCUCAUCACCUCUAAAGGUAGGGCUCUUCACUCUAAGCUGUUUACUGCUAUGCCGGGCAAGAAAAGCUAAAGGGGUCAGGGAGCCUAGAUGAAUUUCUUAGACUUCCUCCCCUCAUUCAGGGCACUCUUAGUACAAAGUAGAUCAUCCCAACCAUGGGAUAUUGCUGGACAUGGACAAAGUGGGAUGGGGUAAGAACUCAACUUUGCAGUCAACCUCAGGGCCCAGCUUUGCUGUGAGCUUCCCUAUCCUUGAACAACUCAGUCCCUCCAUCCAGCACAUCAGCAUACCCAGGGCAAAAGGGAGGAAACACUUUCUGCCUCAUGCAGGAGGGCAAAAUCCUUCUAAGCCAAUAGAAUCAUAGAAUGGUUUGGGUUGUAAGGGACCUUCAAAGCUCAUCUAGUCCAAAACCCCUGCAAUGAGCAGGGGCAUCUUCAACUAGAUCAGGUUGCCCAAAACCACAUCGAGCCUGUCCUGGAAUGUCUUCAGGGAUGGUGCAUCCACCACCUCUCUGGGCAACCUGAGCCAGUGUUUUACCACCCUCAUUGUAAAAGUUUUCUUCCUCGUGUCCAGCCCGAAUCUCACCUCUUUUAGUUUAAAAUCACCUAGACUUGGGUACCCCCAUGGAAGGGCUGAUGACAGAUACUACAUAGGGAAAGCAUAGACUUUCUUUGUCUUGUCUGCUGUCCAUGGCAACUGUGGAUCUGAAGGUGCUGUUCAGCGGCUGCCCUGAACUCAGGCAGGGAUGCUACUCUGAGUAAUGUACCUAGAUUCAAUUUGAAGUCCAACUUCCUCAUAUUGCACCUCUGGUGUGUUCUUCAUCUUCUGGUUUUAUAUGUAUAUGGGAAACCCUUUCACACGAUGGGGUGAUUCUACCAUCUUCCCCUGCACAGAUCUCCCUCAUUUUAUUGAUGCAAGCCCUGUAUUCGAGAGGAUACAUGAGGCUUCCAAAGUAGCAAGCCAAUGGAGCCGUAACCUAUAGGCUCACCCCCAGAUAUUUUCUUGAGACCGACUAUUACAGGCUUGCAUUCCACCCUUACCACACAAAAUACAAAUCACAGAACAGAUAUGGCUCCUGCUCCAGAGAGCUUUGUUCGUCACACAGUGGCCGUAUGAGGUUGCUGGCUAAUACUUUGUUGCUGUUGGAAUUAGUUUCAAUAUGAAUCAAUACCCUUUUUUUUUCAGCACGGUAGGCACACAUGCCAUACAAUUGAAAGCAAUUUUAAAGGAGCUUGUGCUUUAAUGAAACUCCUCUUGGGUUUCAGUUCCAAAGCGAGUAUCAGGCAGGAUCAUUAGUUAUUUACUGUCUUCGUAAACAUUGCAUUCAGUUUGGAUUGUUGUUGUUGCUGGUUUUUAAAUCAAAGAUUUUGAUUUUUUCCCUUUUUCCCCAAAGUAGGAAUAUUUGUCUUUGAAUCCUCCAACAGCUUUGGAAUGCAGCCUCCACACAGACUUUAAUAGCAAAACCCACUUCUUCUGACUCAGGGACCAUUUGAUGAAAUGUCUAGAGAAGCAAAGAGCAGCAACAAAAAAAGCUUUACACAGAUGCUUCCCUGUGACUAACAGAACGUCCACCCAAAGCAGAGAGAGUCUGUCCUUGUCCAUUGUGGUUGGCUGCCUGGGACAAGACACGGAUCUGGGAUGUGGGAUGAGUGAGAUCUGCAAAAGGAUCCAUAUGAUGGACAAGCCUGCUGAGGAGUGGAGCUUAUGAAGUGACAGUGAAAUCAGCCCCAGGAGGGUGACUCUUUCUCUCUUCUGAGCAUGUAAGCUGCUGAAGCUGAGUCACAGUUCCAGCCGUUUGGAAGGAUGGGGGGCUGGAAUGAAAUAUAGCAACAAUUAACAAAAGAUGAAUGUACUGAAUAAGAGCCUCCUCCAUUUCAUUUUCCUUAUGGAUGCUCUUGAUUCAUCACUCUAGCAGUCCUGGCUCCCACCCAGGAUGCAAAGGGCAUAAUAUAGGUUGUCUGGAGGCAGUGGCUAGGAAAGAUAAGGAAUAUUCCUGCUCAGUAUUUUGUACAGGAAAUCUUCUUGUAUGUGACCUACCCAAAUUGCUUAUGUUGAACAGCAAAAUGUUAUCAUGGGGAAAGAAUCGUGCCAGUUUGGAUUACUGUGCUAUUUGAGGGUGGCUAUUAUCAAGUGGGUAGUAUCAGUCACAGCAAGUAGUUGUUCUGGGAGCAGCUGAUGCAGUGAAAGCUGCUUCCUAUGUGUCUUUACCCCAUGCCUUGUAUACACAACCUUAUAACUACAGCUUCACACAGUGACUUGCACAGUCCCACACCACCUCCAGUUCCCCACAUUGUGUAAGUCCCACCUGCUUUCCUGCACCACAGCAAUAGACAUUUGGUGGUGGGAAAGCUCCAGCAUGUAAAGGCUGGCGGGUGUGUGCUUGUUGCUGGGUCAUCCUUUGAGCCAAAAGGGUGACUGUGGAACUACCUCAUCUUUGCUCAAACAAGGGCAUUCAUUUGGGUAUCUAUCUCCUCUCAGCCCAGUGCUGAUUUUCAUUAAGCUUGGUAAGGUUGCAAAGAUAUUAUUUUCCUACCUCUCUGCCAAAUUCAGCUGGAAUUGGCCAACAGGUUUAAAAGCAUUUGAAUGGGGGAGGAGGAUGGGAAAGGAGAGGAAAACAGACAGCAGGCUCACAUAAGCCUCAUUUCAUUAGGAAGCCAGGCUAAAAAAAGAGAGUUUAACUUCUAGCUAUUAAAAUUUUUGGAUUUGUCUUGAAUACUUAACUAUACAAAGAGAGCUGGUUUUUAUCCAGAGCAGUUAAUAAACAGGUGUCAUCCCUG